rnacentral:rRNA from 1 species
AGAGUUUGAUCAUGGCUCAGAACGAACGCUGGCGGCGUGCCUAACACAUGCAAGUCGAACGAGAAAGUUUCCUUCGGGAAACCAGUAAAGUGGCGCAAGGGUGAGUAACACGUGAAUAAUCUGCCUACGAAUUCGGGAUAACUCGACGAAAGUUGUGCUAAUACCGGAUAAGACCACACUUCUUAUGAAGCGUGGCCAAAGGAGUCUCAAACUCCGUUUGUAGAUGAGUUCGCGGACCAUUAGCUUGUUGGCGGGAUAACAGCCCACCAAGGCGACGAUGGUUAGCCGGCCUGAGAGGGUGAUCGGCCACACUGGAACUGAGACACGGUCCAGACUCCUACGGGAGGCAGCAGUGGGGAAUAUUGCGCAAUGGGCGAAAGCCUGACGCAGCAACGCCGUGUGAGGGAUGAAGGCUUUUGAGUCGUAAACCUCUGUCAGAUGGGAAGAAUAAUGACGGUACCAUCAGAGG